rnacentral:lncRNA from 10 species
CAAUAUUGACAUUCAAUUUGUACAGAUAAUUUUUCUUCAAAGUAGAUAAAAUGAAAUUUGCAUAAUCAUGUGGUUAAACUUUGCAACUGUCAUAGCUUUUGGUCACUAUUAUUACCCUGGUUUUCAAAGCACAGACCAUACCCAAGUCAUCUUUGUGGACCCUGAACCGAGCACAUGGGGGUACUGCCCAGCUGGCUGGCACAAACCUGGAAACAGUCUCCAAGUCUUGAGUUCUUUAUUUUACUGGAUAUUCUAUUUAGAUAAUACCAGGCAGGGAAACAAGAUUUGCACAGAUUUGAAAAUUCCAUAAGUUUUCAAAUAAGUGGGGAACACUCAGAGGUUCAGGAAGACUGCAUCAAGAACUAAUUUUUUCUGGGAUAAUUGAACU